rnacentral:rRNA from 1 species
UACGUAGGUGGCAAGCGUUGUCCGGAAUUAUUGGGCGUAAAGGGAGCGCAGGCGGUUGGACUAGUUUGAUGUGAAAGCCCACGGCUUAACCGUGGAAGUUCAUUGGAAACUGUCCAACUUGAAUGCAGAAGAGGUAAGUGGAAUUCCAUGUGUAGCGGUGAAAUGCGUAGAUAUAUGGAGGAACACCAGUGGCGAAGGCGACUUACUGGCCCGUAACUGACGCUGAGGUGCGAAAGCGUGGGGAUCAAACAGG